CCCCUUAUAGCGUAGUGGUAACGCGCCCCAACUAGAGAUCGGGGAGUCGUGAGUUCGAUUCUCACUGAGAAGA
rfam:Aedes aegypti strain Liverpool supercont1.521 genomic scaffold, whole genome shotgun sequence.